rnacentral:tRNA from 1 species
GCCUGGGUGGCUCAGGAGGUUGAGCACAAAACUCUUGAUUUUGACUCCGGUCAUGAUCCCAGGGGGCAUGGGAUCGAGCCCCACAUUGGGCU